rnacentral:lncRNA from 1 species
UAAAGUCGUACGGGUUCCUUAACAUCUUAGUUAUCUACUAAUGUGAUCAAAAUCAUAAUUAGAUCUCUCAUUCAUUACCAGAUUUCCCUAGAUCUCACAUGAUUUAGAUUUCUUCCAAAUCUGGACUAGGCUAGGAAUUUCCAAGUUACUACUCAAAAGUUUUCUAGCCCAAUUCUUUUCCCAUUGGCUUUUUCCUAACGACGGAAUCAGGUCGUUACAGUUACCCAC